UACGUAGGGACCAAGCGUUGUUCGGAUUUACUGGGCGUAAAGGGCGCGUAGGCGGCUUAACAAGUCACUUGUGAAAUCUCCGGGCUUAACUCGGAACGGCCAAGUGAAACUGUCAAGCUAGAGUGCGGAAGGGGCAAGCGGAAUUCCCGGUGUAGUGGUGAAAUGCGUAGAUAUCGGGAGGAACACCAGUGGCGAAGGCGGCUUCCUGGCCUGUUCUUGACGCUGAGGCGCGAAAGCUAGGGGAGCAAACGGGG
rnacentral:rRNA from 1 species